UCCAUCAUGGUCUAGUGGCUAGGAUUUGCCGCUUUCAUUACGAGAGUGCCGGCAAGGCCCGGGUUCAAUUCCCGGUGAUGGAA